GAGCAUCUUCAAUUGCCAGUAAUACAUGUAUGCAACUAGAAUUUUAGGUUGUUUGGGAGUAUGUGGCUUUAAAGGUAAAAGAAAAACGAAAAAAGUUCACAAUUAUUCACCACACGUUUACGAUAAUUAAUUUAGAUGGAAAAUACCCUACAACCAAAUCCCAAUACACUCCGAUAAUCGUAUUGAUACCUGAAUGUAUUGCAGGUUUGGAACAUUUUUAUUCAAUUUCUUAUGUAUACCAGAGUUACUUCCCUUACAAUAAAUGUGUACACAAGCGGGAAUUUUCCUUUUAGCCUAUACAUUCCUAUGUAUUAUCGGACAGGAAUCGGACCCGGGCCGACGGUGUUAUAAUCCGCUGAUCUACAUUCUGAGCAAAAGAAGCAUACUUCAUUAGCUGAAUGACAAAGGCCGUUACCUACAGUGUAAAAUGCGAUGAAAUCCAGGCCUAACGUCAUUGGAUACGGUUAUCAACGAGAGGAAGGGAUGAGUUAUAUUUUGUUGCAUUUCGCACGUGAUGAUGCACAUGAGGAAGGUAAGACAUCAAAUGACGAUAAGUUCGUGUUGUACGUGUUACUAAUCAACAAACCUUUGUUGAAAGCAGGACAGACAGGAUAUCGUUGUCGUUACUCCAGAAAGGCCCGCAUCACCAGAAGUAGUGAAUGAGUCAAAGGAUGAUCCGGAAGUGAAAACAACUAUCCAUUCGAGAUUUGGUUGGUGUAUGCCAGCCAGAUACGGCAGAUGCAUCAGCAGAGAGUGUGAUCUCCAAGGAGAAGAAUGCUGCUGUCCGCCAUUGUUCCCCGGGAAGUAAUCCAAUACUUAAGUGAAGCAGGCAGAUAUAAAAUAUAUCGUGAAAUACACAAAUGUAUAUAUUAAACUUGUGUCUGUCUGUA